AGUGAAAUAGCUGGGUCAAAUGGUGGUUCUAUUCCUAAUUUUGUAAGUAAUAUCCAUGCUGCUUUCCAUAGUGGUUCCACCAAUUUGCAGUCCCACAGGGAGU
rnacentral:pre_miRNA from 1 species